GACGAACGCUGGCGGCGUGCCUAAUACAUGCAAGUUGAGCGCUGAAGGUUGGUACUUGUACCAACUGGAUGAGCAGCGAACGGGUGAGUAACGCGUGGGUAAUCUGCCUUUGAGCGGGGGACAACAUUUGGAAACGAAUGCUAAUACCGCAUAAAAACUUUAAACACAAGUUUUAAGUUUGAAAGAUGCAAUUGCAUCACUCAAAGAUGAUCCCGCGUUGUAUUAGCUAGUUGGUGAGGUAAAGGCUCACCAAGGCGAUGAUACAUAGCCGACCUGAGAGGGUGAUCGGCCACAUUGGGACUGAGACACGGCCCAAACUCCUACGGGAGGCAGCAGUAGGGAAUCUUCGGCAAUGGACGAAAGUCUGAACGAGAAACGCCGCGUGAGGGAAGAAGGUUGUCGGAUCGUAAAACUCUGUUGGUAGAGAAGAACGUUGGUGAGAGUGGAAAGCUCAUCAAGUGACGGUAACUACCCAGAAAGGGACGGCUAACUACGUG
rnacentral:rRNA from 1 species